UACGUAGGGUGCGAGCGUUGUCCGGAAUUAUUGGGCGUAAAGAGCUCGUAGGCGGUGUGUCACGUCGGCCGUGAAAACCUGCAGCUUAACUGUGGGCGUGCGGUCGAUACGGGCAUCAUUGGAGUUCGGCAGGGGAGACUGGAAUUCCUGGUGUAGCGGUGAAAUGCGCAGAUAUCAGGAGGAACACCGGUGGCGAAGGCGGGUCUCUGGGCCGAUACUGACGCUGAGGAGCGAAAGCGUGGGGAGCAAACAGG
rnacentral:rRNA from 1 species